rnacentral:rRNA from 1 species
AUACGGAGGAUCCGAGCGUUAUCCGGAUUUAUUGGGUUUAAAGGGUGCGCAGGCGGACAUUUAAGUCAGCGGUUAAAUCGUGGGGCUCAACCCCAUUCUGCCGUUGAUACUGGGUGGCUUGAUUGCGGUCGAGGUUGGCGGAAUUCGCUGUGUAGCCGUGAAAUGCAUAGAUAGGACGAAGAACACCGAUUGCGGAGGCAGCUGGCCAGACCGUAAAUGACGCUCAUGCACGAAAGUGCAGGGAUCGAACAGGAUUAGAUACCCUGGUAGUCCGCACAGUAAACGAUGAAUACUUGAUUUCGGCGAUAUAAUGUCGGAGGCUAAGCGAAAGCAAUAAGUAUUCCCCCUGGGGAGUACGCCGGCAACGUCGAAACUCAAAGUAAUUGACGGUG